ACCCCGUACUGGUGUGCGGCGCGGGCUUCAAACCCGUGAUGCCUCUGUCUGAUACACAGAUGAGUUGUGGGUUCGAUUCCCACUCCA
rnacentral:tRNA from 1 species